rnacentral:rRNA from 1 species
GGGACACGUGGUAUCCUGUCUGAAUAUGGGGGGACCAUCCUCCAAGGCUAAAUACUCCUGACUGACCGAUAGUGAACCAGUACCGUGAGGGAAAGGCGAAAAGAACCCCGGCGAGGGGAGUGAAAAAGAACCUGAAACCGUGUACGUACAAGCAGUGGGAGCACGCUUAGGCGUGUGACUGCGUACCUUUUGUAUAAUGGGUCAGCGACUUAUAUUCUGUAGCAAGGUUAACCGAAUAGGGGAGCCGAAGGGAAACCGAGUCUUAACUGGGCGUUAAGUUGCAGGGUAUAGACCCGAAACCCGGUGAUCUAGCCAUGGGCAGGUUGAAGGUUGGGUAACACUAACUGGAGGACCGAACCGACUAAUGUUGAAAAAUUAGCGGAUGACUUGUGGCUGGGGGUGAAAGGCCAAUCAAACCGGGAGAUAGCUGGUUCUCCCCGAAAGCUAUUUAGGUAGCGCCUCGUGAAUUCAUCUCCGGGGGUAGAGCACUGUUUCGGCAAGGGGGUCAUCCCGACUUACCAACCCGAUGCAAACUGCGAAUACCGGAGAAUGUUAUCACGGGAGACACACGGCGGGUGCUAACGUCCGUCGUGAAGAGGGAAACAACCCAGACCGCCAGCUAAGGUCCCAAAGUCAUGGUUAAGUGGGAAACGAUGUGGGAAGGCCCAGACAGCCAGGAUGUUGGCUUAGAAGCAGCCAUCAUUUAAAGAAAGCGUAAUAGCUCACUGGUCGAGUCGGCCUGCGCGGAAGAUGUAACGGGGCUAAACCAUGCACCGAAGCUGCGGCAGCGACGCUUAUG